rnacentral:lncRNA from 1 species
UUCGCCCUGUACCAGCGGGUCCGCUUGUGCAGGGCUGCUAUUUCCAUCCAGCCAGGACGGGUUGUGCAAGAGGUGCGCUCCAGACCUCCAGUACUUACCCAUGGCCUGGUAUAUCCAGUUCCUGUUUCUCGUGCUGACCCUGAGGUGCGUAUCCAUAGUCUGGCGUCUCCUAAACCAGCACCACGCACCAGGCUUCCAGUGGUUCAGCCCAGUCCAACUCGUCCUGUUCCUGCUCCUCGCAGUAGCCCUGAGGUGCGUGUCCCCAGUCUGGUACCUCCACUACCAGCCCCACGCAUUAGGCUUCCAGUGCGUCAGCCCAGUACCUCGUCCAGAGUGUCCGGCAACAGUACCUCGUCCAGAGUGUCCGGCAACAGUACCUCGUCCAGAGUGUCCGGCAACAGUACCUCGUCCAGAGUGUCCGGCAACAGUACCUCGUCCAGAGUGUCCGGCAACAGUGUCUAGUCCGGAACCGAGUGAGUCGGCCUACAGUCCAGAGCUCCUAGAGUCGGCCUACAGUCCAGAGCUCCUAGAGUCGGCCUACAGUCCAGAGCUCCCAGAGCAGAGUCCAGGGUCCUCAGUGACUGGCCUCUGGCAAAGGUAUGCAGUGGGGGUGGUUUGGUCAGGUAGGGGAUUAAGGCCUGAGCCUAAGCCACCUCCACUGUAGGAGGUUUGGGGAGGUGGGGGUGUACCACAGGACCCGUCGGUGACGGCAGCCACCCUCCCUUCCCUCCCUUUAGUUUUGGGAUGUAUUUUUGUUUUGGGGGUUAUUUUAGUUUUUUUGUGUGAGGUGCAUCCGGGGUCUGCACCUUUUGGGGGGGGGUUACUGUCACGUCCUGACCAGUAUAGUGGUUAUUUGUUAUUGUAGUUUGGUCAGGAUGUGGCAGGGGGUGUUUGUUUUGUGGUUCAGGGUGUGCUUUGUGUAUGUGUUUAGGUAGAGGGGGUAUUUGAUUUAUUAGUCCGGGGUUUGUUAGUCAUUGUUCUAUGUUAGUAUAUUUCUAUGUUCUAUCUAGUCUUUUGUAGUUCUAUGUUUAGUUAAUUGGGGUUGGACCUUCAAUUGGAGGCAGCUGGUUAUUGUUGCCUCUGAUUGAGGGUCCUAUAAUUAGGAGUUUGUUUUUCAUGGGAUUUUGUGGGAGAUUGUUCUUGUUUAGCUGUUUGCCCGACGAGACUGUCAAGUUAGUUUUGUUUUGUAUACGUUUAUGUGUUUUCCUUCACCAAUAAAAAAAGAUGAGUAUACAUUUUCCCGCUGCGUCUUGGUCUCUAACCUACGACACCCGUGACAGACAAACUAAUUUAGAGUGUGACGCUAACAAUCCAUCUGCUAAUUUCAAACAGUCAUUCUUUCAACACUCUUACCAUUAACAUGACCUUGCUACCACCUCUCAACAGAUCCCCUCUGCAGUGACACUGUGUACUGUAUAGACAGAGCACAGUGUCAGGAACCUGAGCCAGAAUGGAUCCCCGCUGUGGAUCAGGCCCUCUCUCUGUUCCUGUUCCUCCAGCACAGUGACCAAUUCCUCUCCCAGCUCUCUGACUUCAUGGGUGGUCACCAUGGAGGGCAUGAAUACCUCAGGGAGGAAGUUGGUAGCAUCUAAACUCUGAGGUCAGAGGGAUUCCUCUAAAACAUCUUUGUUCGAUUUCCUGGAUCCUGAUCAAGCCUAUUCCAAGACUAAAAGCAUGUUCGACUGAGAUUCUCAAGCUGACCGGUAUGACUUCAUGGAGAUUCUCAAGCUGACCGGUAUGACUUCAUGGAGAUGCUCAAGAAACCCUCUCCCUACAUCCCCUCUGAUGGCCUGACCUUUGACCCCCUGGUGGACCUCAUCAACGUCAUUAUCGGGGACCUCCCCGAUGUCUGCAUACUGCUGGGACCCUUUGUGGACUCCUAACAUGAGCAGAUAGAGAAAUCUCUGUUGACCGAGACGUUUGAUGCCAUCUUCUCCAGAUGUGUGGGGAGCAUCGUGAAAGGCACCGAAGGAGUUGGAUGUCGGUUUGUAUUUGUUCCCCCCCGAGAGAGAUGUCCACCAUCACUUCAUUUACCCACAACCCCCUUUCACCCUGCCGGACCUCCGCAAGGACGAUGCAAAGCAUGUGACCCUGGUGCCUGACCCCUGCACCCUGCUCAUUGAGGGCGUGACCUUUAGCCUGACCUCUACAGACAUCCUGUCCUACAUGGGAGCAGAGGAGGUCAGCUGCUACUACCCCCUGUAACCGCCUGUGGAGGAGGUGAACAUGGACUAUGAGACGUUCCAGAACCACGGCCAGAUGCCCCUCAGUCAUGAUGUGCUCAUCGUCUCCUCCGAGCUGCGCUUAUUCAUCAAGGUAACUGAGCCCCAGCUGAGGGAAGAAGUGCAACUGCCAACACCAGAGUCCAAAGGGAUACAUUCUAAUAGCAAGUAUAUCACAUAAGCAUAUUAUGCAGAUAAGACAUCUUAAUUAUCUAUGUUACCCAACUAAUUCUGAUUCAUCCGCCACAUGGCUGGUUCACACAGUGGAAACUUACUCGGCC